rnacentral:lncRNA from 1 species
AGAGAGAGAGACAUGGGGAAACAGCCAGUCUGUGGAGCGUCAGAACGUACGUCGACGUCGCACUGACAGAUUAAGUUUGUCGUCUUAUGUCAUCCAACUGUUCAUCUACACCAAGAGAAUGCUGUGUGGUCAUAAUCUUUCCUCCCUUGAAAUCCUGGGGCUUUUUCCCCUCUGGAGUCCUUCCCUGUACAAGCUUCCAAAGCAUGAACUUCCUUCCUGAAGCAUGAAAGAAAGCUCUUUGCUGAGUACAGCAAACCCACCAAGUUAAAUAAAACCUACUUUCAUCAUCCAUCUAUGUUUUUUUCCAUGUAUUUCUGACAACUCACCAUUGAUUUUGGAAACUUCCCAGUCGUUUUGUAAGCUUCCACUGCCGAGGGAAAAUGUAAAAUGGGGACCCCGAAAUAAGUGCUGAUCAUCAUCAGUAGCCUC